rnacentral:rRNA from 1 species
UACGGGGGGGGCAAGCGUUGUUCGGAAUUACUGGGCGUAAAGGGCUCGUAGGCGGCCAACUAAGUCAGACGUGAAAUCCCUCGGCUUAACCGGGGAACUGCAUCUGAUACUGGAUGGCUUGAGUUCGGGAGAGGGAUGCGGAAUUCCAGGUGUAGCGGUGAAAUGCGUAGAUAUCAGGAGGAACACCCGUGGCGAAGGCGGCUCUCUGGGUCGGCCCUGACGCUGAGACGCGAAAGCGUGGAGAGCGAACGGG